rnacentral:lncRNA from 1 species
UAGGGCACCAAUAUAGCUAAAUGGAGAUGGGUGAUGAAAAUUUCCAUUCCUAUUGGUCAAAAAUCAUGACCAAUGGGCUUUGAAGAGGCUGCCCGAGGCCAUAUUAGGGAUUAGGGUUAGUUUUUUGGGACCAUUUGAGCUUUGAAGGCUAAGGUCAGCAAGUUCAGGAUUUUGGCUAUGAUUUUAGUACAAAUUUUGUAUGGUUUGGAGUUUAUAUGAAGGAGAUAUAGGUGCUCAAAGUUAAAGUUUUGAUUUGGGAGCUACUUUUACUCUUUUUGGCAUAAUGCAUGCGUACAGAAGGCAAUUGAGAAUUGGAAAUUGCCACUAAAGAGAGUACUUUUGCGGCUACAUUUUUCAUAACAGCUUGCUGAAUUUCAAGUUGAAAUCAAGGAGUUAAUGGAUUUUGAAGUCAGUCCAUGCAAUCUAACGGUAGCAAGUGACCCGAUUUACUAGUGGUUGUGUCUUGAGCUAUAUCUUGAGCAAUUUGACAAGGAUUUGGUUCAAAAUUUAAGAAAAUGUAUAAUUUUAUAUUAAUAAACUUUGUACAUAAUUUUGAUGAUAUUUGAGAAUUGGAUUC